UGUUUCUUUUUAGAACUCGCAUUUUCUAUGGAUUCAACAUAGAGGAGGUGUCCUUCAAGGGCCGGAGAAUACCGAUAUAUCAUAUGCAUUUCUCUUAUUUUGUGCAGUUGUCCCAACAAAGAAUAAAUUGGAUGCAUAUUUAAUCUCGAUAUCAAAAAGUUGUCUAGUUUGUUUCUUAUGUUGCUAUCAAAAAAGUGAUUAUAAUUUAGAAAAUGAAUAAGAAAAUACAAUAGAAGAUAUACGGACGAAGCCAUUUGAAUGUGGAGACAAAUGGACGUAAAAAUAUAUAUAUAUAUAUAUAUAUAUA